rnacentral:rRNA from 1 species
CCUGCCCUGUGACAAUGUUUAACGGCCGCGGUAUUUUGACCGUGCGAAGGUAGCGUAAUCACUUGUCUUUUAAAUGAAGACCUGUAUGAAAGGCAUCACGAGAGUUUAACUGUCUCUAUUUUCUAAUCAAUGAAAUUGAUCUUCUCGUGCAGAAGCGAGAAUAUUACCAUAAGACGAGAAGACCCUAUGGAGCUUCAAACACUUAAAUUAAUUAUGUAAAAUUAUAAUCCCAAGGGAAAAAAUCAUUCAUAUAAUAUUCCUAAUUUAACUGUUUUUGGUUGGGGUGACCAAGGGGGAAAGAAAAUCCCCCUUAUCGACCGAGUACUAAAGUACUUAAAAAUUAGAACGACAGUUCUGAUUAAUAAAAUAUUUACCGAAAAAUGACCCAGAUUUUUCUGAUCAAUGAACCAAGUUACCCUAGGGAUAACAGCGCAAUCCUUUCCCAGAGUCCCUAUCGCCGAAAGGGUUUACGACCUCGAUGUUGGAUCAGGACAUCCUAAU